rnacentral:rRNA from 1 species
UACGUAGGGUGCAAGCGUUAAUCGGAAUUACUGGGCGUAAAGCGUGCGCAGGCGGUUAUUUAAGACAGGUGUGAAAUCCCCGGGCUUAACCUGGGAACUGCAUUUGAGACUGCAUAGCUAGAGUACGGUAGAGGGGGAUGGAAUUCCGCGUGUAGCAGUGAAAUGCGUAGAUAUGCGGAGGAACACCGAUGGCGAAGGCAAUCCCCUGGACCUGUACUGACGCUCAUGCACGAAAGCGUGGGGAGCAAACAGG